rnacentral:rRNA from 1 species
AGUGAACGCUGGCGGUAGGCCUAACACAUGCAAGUCGAACGGCAGCACAGUAAGAGCUUGCUCUUACGGGUGGCGAGUGGCGGACGGGUGAGGAAUACAUCGGAAUCUACUUUUUCGUGGGGGAUAACGUAGGGAAACUUACGCUAAUACCGCAUACGACCUACGGGUGAAAGCAGGGGAUCUUCGGACCUUGCGCGAUUGAAUGAGCCGAUGUCGGAUUAGCUAGUUGGCGGGGUAAAGGCCCACCAAGGCGACGAUCCGUAGCUGGUCUGAGAGGAUGAUCAGCCACACUGGACCUGAGACACGGUCCAGACUCCUACGGGAGGCAGCAGUGGGGAAUAUUGGACAAUGGGCGCAAGCCUGAUCCAGCCAUACCGCGUGGGUGAAGAAGGCCUUCGGGUUGUAAAGCCCUUUUGUUGGGAAAGAAGAGCAGCAGGUUAAUACCCCGCUGUUCUGACGGUACCCAAAGAAUAAGCACCGGCUAACUUCGU